UACGUAGGGCGCAAGCGUUGUCCGGAAUUAUUGGGCGUAAAGAGCUCGUAGGCGGCCAGUUGCGUCCGCUGUGAAAUCCCGGGGCUUAACCCCGGGCGUGCAGUGGAUACGGGCUGGCUAGAGGCAGGCAGGGGAGAACGGAAUUCCCGGUGUAGCGGUGAAAUUCGUAGAUAUCGGGAGGAACACCAGUGGCGAAGGCGGCGACCUGGGCCAAUACUGACGCUGAGUUGCGAAAGCGUGGGGAGCAAACAGG
rnacentral:rRNA from 1 species